rnacentral:rRNA from 1 species
AGCGAACGCUGGCGGCAGGCUUAACACAUGCAAGUCGAGCGGGCAUAGCAAUAUGUCAGCGGCAGACGGGUGAGUAACGCGGGGGAACGUACCUUUAGGUUCGGAACAACUGAGGGAAACUUCAGCUAAUACCGGAUAAGCCCUUACGGGGAAAGAUUUAUCGCCGAAAGAUCGGCCCGCGUCUGAUUAGCUAGUUGGUGAGGUAAUGGCUCACCAAGGCGACGAUCAGUAGCCGGUCUGAGAGGAUGAUCAGCCACAUUGGGACUGAGACACGGCCCAAACUCCUACGGGAGGCAGCAGUGGGGAAUAUUGGACAAUGGGCGCAAGCCUGAUCCAGCCAUGCCGCGUGAGUGAUGAAGGCCCUAGGGUUGUAAAGCUCUUUUGUGCGGGAAGAUAAUGACGGUACCGCAAGAAUAAGCCCCGGCUAACUUCGUG